UGCCAGCCGCCGCGGUAAUACGGAGGGUGCAAGCGUUAAUCGGAAUUACUGGGCGUAAAGGGUGCGUAGGUGGUAUGGAUAGUUUGAUGUGAAAGCUCCGAGCUCAACUCGGGAAUUGCAUUGGAUACUACCAAACUUGAGGAUCGGAGGGGAGACUGGAAUUCUUGGUGUAGCAGUGAAAUGCGUAGAUAUCAAGAGGAACACCAGUGGCGAAGGCGAGUCUCUGGACGAUUCCUGACACUGAGGCACGAAGGCUAGGGGAGCAAACAGGAUUAGAUA
rnacentral:rRNA from 1 species